rnacentral:rRNA from 1 species
UACAGAGGGUGCAAGCGUUGCUCGGAAUUAUUGGGCGUAAAGAGCUUGUAGGCGGUUUGUCGCGUCUGCUGUGAAAUCUCAAGGCUCAACCUUGAGCUUGCAGUGGGUACGGGCAGACUAGAGUGUGGUAGGGGAGACUGGAAUUCCUGGUGUAGCGGUGAAAUGCGCAGAUAUCAGGAGGAACACCGGUGGGCGAAGGCGGGGUCUCUGGGC